GAUGAACGCUGGCGGCGUGCCUAAUACAUGCAAGUCGAGCGAACGGACGAGAGGCUUGCUUCUCUGAUGUUAGCGGCGGACGGGUGAGUAACACGUGGAUAACCUACCUAUAAGACUGGGAUAACUUCGGGAAACCGGAGCUAAUACCGGAUAAUAUUUUGAACCGCAUGGUUCAAAAGUGAAAGACGGUCUUGCUGUCACUUAUAGAUGGAUCCGCGCUGCAUUAGCUAGUUGGUAAGGUAACGGCUUACCAAGGCAACGAUGCAUAGCCGACCUGAGAGGGUGAUCGGCCACACUGGAACUGAGACACGGUCCAGACUCCUACGGGAGGCAGCAGUAGGGAAUCUUCCGCAAAGGGCGAAAGCCUGACGGAGCAACGCCGCGUGAGUGAUGAAGGUCUUCGGAUCGUAAAACUCUGUUAUUAGGGAAGAACAUCUGUGUAAGUAACUGUGCACAUCUUGACGGUACCUAAUCAGAAAGCCACGGCUAACUACGUG
rnacentral:rRNA from 1 species